rnacentral:lncRNA from 1 species
GGGAGAGAUGGGAAUGUUGCUGGGGUGCGGCUUUCCAGGGACAGAGUGUGGACAGAGAAGAGCCAAAGAGACAACUCCAAUGUCACAGCCUCAGAAAGAGCGGAACCAAGGCCAGUGGGCCUCACAGGAGCCAGGGGAGACACCUGCAGGAGCCGUCCGCUGGGUCAAAUACUGGGAAGUCUGAGUAGCAUGUGGACAGUGAGCUGGGUGAGGAAGGAGGGAAAAGCUAAGCCCCUUCCCAGCUGCAGGCUUCCUACCUGCAGCAAGCUCAGGACGGCAGAGGCAAGAAGCCUUCAUUUUAACUCAGAUUCUGGACGGGACAUUUCACCUUCCUGCAGUGAGACAGUUUUUAUUAACUAAGAGCAACCAGAAAAGUUAUAGGAUUGCCUGAGUUUGCAGCAGUGGCCAGGGAAGAGGUGAUUCCACCGACUAAAUCGGGAGUUGCUUUGUGAUUUGAUCCUAAAAGUGCUGUUAAUUCAACGCAUUGGCCACAUUUGUCUGAAGGAACAAGGCCAGGGUGGACAGAGCUGCUGAUGGAGGACCUGUGAUGGCCUGGAGCCCAGCCCAGCUUGUCAGCUGUAGGUGGGACUUCCCAGACCCAUCCAACGCAAAGCUCCGCCACAGAGAGGAGACAGCCAUGAACUUGAGUACAGGAAAAUUAGAUCCUGACACAUAUUCAAGGAACCUGCUGCAGCUGUUUCUCCAAGAACAGAGAGCCUGGGGAUGUCCCAUCUUCAGCCCAUCAAGUCCCAAGUGCUUAGUCACCUGCUCAGCCCAGACAUGAGGGAUGCUAUCAAAGAAAAGCAAACAAUAACACACCCGUGACAAAGCCAUUUACUAAAUUAAUAGAGGCAAGGAGCAUAAAACCCUGAAAGAACGAUUAAACCUUGCAUUUGCUCCAAGCCUAUUCCUUUUCCACAUCUGCAUUUGCCAGGUCAUCUGCUCCUAACAGUCUUAUCCUUUUUGUGCCAUGAACCCCUUUGGUAGUUUGGUGACUGCCAAUAACAAAUCAAAUAAAAUAAUACAUAGAAUUACUGUCUUAAUCUGUUUUCCGUUGCUAUAACAGAAUAUCACAGACUGGGUAAUUUAUUUUUUUAAAGAAAGGUUAUUUAGCUCACAGUUCUGGAGGCUGAGAAGUCCAAGAGCAUGGCACCAGCCUCUGGCAAGGGCCUUUGUGCUGCAUGAUGAUGCAUCCCAGCAUGGGACAUGGUGAGAGAGCAAGAGCGAGAGAGCCAGAGAGAGCUCCAUGUUAUAACAAAAUCACUCCUGUGAUAA